rnacentral:lncRNA from 13 species
GUAUCUUGUUAGGGUGGAUAUGUUGGGUCGUAGACCAUCUGGAGCGCAGGCUGGCAUCAUCUCAACGAUGGCAAAGUUGUUGCCGAGCUGCCUUGAAGUAAUCUCUAGAAUUUUGCUGCUGGAUCACCAAGUUUGGUCUGUCUGUCUCAAGAUUAGCUCUUGGAACAUCCAGAAUGGGAGCUCACCAAAUAAAGCCUUAGGAAGCAGGCAGCCUAAUAUUUUAAUACAUUUUACGCUCAAGACAAAAUACCCAGGAAAUGCUGUUCCUACCACUCUAUUCUUGGCAUGCCAUUCAUUACAGAGGUAAGUCUGGGUUAACAGAUUUGUAAAUUACAGAAUAAUUAUGUUUUGAUCAGCUUAAAUUUUAGACACAUUUUGGUCAUCUAAAUGUAAUUUUUCAGUAUAAUCGAGUAUAAGUGUCAGUUGGGUACAAUUGAGUGUAACUCUCAUACUGAGAUGAGAUCCAUUUUGGAGACAAUGAAUUCAAAUAAAUUAGUAGUAUUCAACA